rnacentral:tRNA from 13 species
CGGGGUGUAAUGUCAGUCUGGUAGACGGCUCGCUUUGGAUGCGAGAGGUCGCUGGUUCGAAUCCAGCCUCCCCGACCA